AAACCACCAGCCAGUCCACCCCCUCCCCACCACCACUCCAGCAGCCAAUCUGCACAGUCUGACAGGGAACGUGGGACGAUUCUGAGAGCUUUCAUAGCAGCACUGUAAAGGUUUGUGAAACGCUCUUCGGCCAAAUGAACCCAUGUGGAUUUUCCUCCCUGUCGCAAACCCCAGGUGAUUGGCUAACACAGACUUGAUGCCCUGUUUUGCUCUCCAGGGAUUCUGAAGGGACGAUUGUAGCCAGCAGAAGAGAUGCCUUUUCCUUAGCCCUGUAGAACGUCUCUGGAAACAAACCUGGAGCCCAGUGCUGUGCAGGGACUCCCUGGAGAAGCAAGGGCCUUGAAACUCGACAGAAGUGCCCCACUGCUCCACCAAGAGUUCUCUUCUCGCACACAUGCCCUUCUUACCGGGAGCCAGCCUGUGAUGUCUCUGUGCUGAACCCACUGUUUCCUUCUCCGGCAUCGCUAAGCUCUGGGCAUGUGGGUCGCAAGGAGAUGUUAAAAAUUCAGAAGUACAAUUUGAUCCAUUUGCACGCAACCUCCUGAAUGACUCUUAAUUACAUAAAAAUCUCUCUGCCCAAUGGCAAAAUGUAACAGAUGUUUGAACUGUUUACCCAGUUGUACUUGCCAUCUUUCUAAAGUAUAGAGCUAAGAAGGCCCUAACUCAAUACCCUGAGAAACAUGAGGCUCUUUUUCUGGUGUUACUGAGGUAGAUGGCAGUACCAGGGCAUUUUAUCCAAAGAGAAGUGGGUGGGACCAACUGAGUAGACCAGUGUAAUGUUUUGCACAUUUUCAAAGCAUUCAAUCCAGUAUUAGUCCUGCAACUCCUAUUGACAAGUGCUACAGCUGAAUCCCUGCGCACUUCCUUGAAAAUGUAGGGGAAAGUGUUGCUGGUCUCUAGACUCUUGAGGUACCAGAGUUCUCAUUUAAUACUGCAACUACAUACAUAAAGUUCAGCUUCCGAAGUUAAAUCCAAAUGGCAUUAAAACAUUACAAAAAAUUCUGCUGAGACAAACUGUCUUGCAAUAAAUGCUGAAUAUGCCAUCUGUGUUCUGAAUCA
rnacentral:lncRNA from 1 species